AUUGAACGCUGGCGGCAGGCUUAACACAUGCAAGUCGAACGAUGAUUAUAUAGCUUGCUAGAUAUGAUUAGUGGCGGACGGGUGAGUAACAUUUAGGAAUCUGCCUAGUAGUGGGGGAUAGCUCGGGGAAACUCGAAUUAAUACCGCAUACGACCUACGGGUGAAAGGGGGCGCAAGCUCUUGCUAUUAGAUGAGCCUAAAUCAGAUUAGCUAGUUGGUGGGGUAAAGGCCCACCAAGGCGACGAUCUGUAACUGGUCUGAGAGGAUGAUCAGUCACACCGGAACUGAGACACGGUCCGGACUCCUACGGGAGGCAGCAGUGGGGAAUAUUGGACAAUGGGGGCAACCCUGAUCCAGCCAUGCCGCGUGUGUGAAGAAGGCCUUUUGGUUGUAAAGCACUUUAAGCAGGGAGGAGAGGCUAAUGGUUAAUACCCAUUAGAUUAGACGUUACCUGCAGAAUAAGCACCGGCUAACUCUGUGCCAGCAGCCGCGGUAAUACAGAGGGUGCGAGCGUUAAUCGGAAUUACUGGGCGUAAAGCGAGUGUAGGUGGCUCAUUAAGUCACAUGUGAAAUCCCCGGGCUUAACCUGGAAACUGCAUGUGAUACUGGUGGUGCUAGAAUAUGUGAGAGGGAAGUAGAAUUCCAGGUGUAGCGGUGAAAUGCGUAGAGACCUGGAGGAAUACCGAUGGCGAAGGCAGCUUCCUGGCAUAAUAUUGACACUGAGAUUCGAAAGCGUGGGUAGCAAACAGGAUUAGAUACCCUGGUAGUCCACGCCGUAAACGAUGUCUACUAGCCGUUGGGGUCCUUGAGACUUUAGUGGCGCAGUUAACGCGAUAAGUAGACCGCCUGGGGAGUACGGCCGCAAGGUUAAAACUCAAAUGAAUUGACGGGGGCCCGCACAAGCGGUGGAGCAUGUGGUUUAAUUCGAUGCAACGCGAAGAACCUUACCUGGUCUUGACAUAGUGAGAAUCUUUCAGAGAUGAGAGAGUGCCUUCGGGAAUUCACAUACAGGUGCUGCAUGGCUGUCGCCAGCUCGUGUCGUGAGAUGUUGGGUUAAGUCCCGCAACGAGCGCAACCCUUUUCCUUAUUUGCCAGCGGGUUAAGCCGGGAACUUUAAGGAUACUGCCAGUGACAAACUGGAGGAAGGCGGGGACGACGUCAAGUCAUCAUGGCCCUUACGACCAGGGCUACACACGUGCUACAAUGGUAGGUACAGAGGGUUGCUACACAGCGAUGUGAUGCUAAUCUCAAAAAGCCUAUCGUAGUCCGGAUUGGAGUCUGCAACUCGACUCCAUGAAGUCGGAAUCGCUAGUAAUCGCAGAUCAGAAUGCUGCGGUGAAUACGUUCCCGGGCCU
rnacentral:rRNA from 1 species